UACGUAGGGGGCUAGCGUUGUCCGGAAUCAUUGGGCGUAAAGCGCGUGUAGGCGGUCCGGUAAGUCCGCUGUGAAAGUCGAGGGCCCAACCCUCGAAUGCCGGUGGAUACUGUCGGGCUUGAGUACGGGAGAGGCGAGUGGAAUUCCUGGUGUAGCGGUGAAAUGCGCAGAUAUCAGGAGGAACACCGGUGGUGUAGACGGCUUUCUGGACCGUAACUGACGCUGAGACACGAAAGCGUGGGUAGCAAACAGG
rnacentral:rRNA from 1 species